CUUUGUUACUAAGCCUAUAUUGAAUAUUUAAAAUUAAGAAAUCCGUGAUUUUACUUGCAGGCAUGACUGAUUAAUGGAAUUAUUUUACUUUUAUAUAGAAUAUGGACGGCACUCCAUUACAGCAUGUGCAUGGUUGGACCUGUUGACAUUUUUAGAAACGCAUCUUGGUCUAUUAUACAGAGUAUUGUUGUACUGCUCCAAAGUGCUUGUUGACAGACUGAAACCACUUGCUUGCGGCUCAUAAGGUUCACUUCUUGAGAGCAGGCAGCUACAGAAUGGAAGGUCAACAAAUCCAGUAUACUUGAAAAGCAAGAAAGAAACACCAGAAAAUAUAAAAAGACAGAAGAACAAGGGAACUUUAAUAAAAAAAAACUUUUAAGGAGAGGAAUUCAGGAUUUAUUUAGAAACUAAGACUAAGCUCUGUUACUUUAAGAGAUAAUGUAUUAUCACAUUGGUUUUGUUAUUGUCGAGCCCGCUUGCUGAAGCGAAGAUAUAGUUGUCCAGAUGUCUAUUCGGUGUAUGUGCGUGCGUGCGUCCGUCCGGAUUUGUUUGUCCGGACCAUAAUUUGGACAUGCAUGGAGCAAUCUUGUUUAUAUAUGGUAUGAAUGUUAACCUCAGUCAGACGGAGUGUAUGCGCAAGCCCCAGGUUCCUAUCUCAAAGGUCAAGAUCACACUUACAGGUCAAAGGUCAAAUUCAAGAAUGACUGUCUGGAACAUUUCUUCUUCAUGCAUGGAGGGAUUUUGAUGUAACUUGGCACAAUUGUUCCCCAUCAUGAGAUGGCGUGUCAUGCGCAAGAACCAGGUCCCUAGGUCUAAGGUCUAGGUCACACUUAGAGGUCAAAUAAUACAAGAAUGACAACUUUGUCUGGAGCAUUUCUUCUUCAGGCAUGGAGGGACUUUGAUGUAACUUGGCACAAAUGUUCACCACCAUGAGACGGAGUGUCAUGCGGAAGAACCAGGUCUAAGGUCAAGGUCACACUUAGAGGUCAAAAGUCAGAUACAAGAAUGACUUUGUCUGGAGCAUUUCUUUUUGAUGCACAGAGGGAUUUUGAUGUAACUUGGCACAAUUGUUCAUCAUCAUGCAACGGAGUGUUAUGCAUAUGAUCCUAGAAUUACUUCCCUUUGUUGUUACUAUAAAUAGCUUACAUUUGUAAUUUGUUUAUUACUGGUCAUAGGGAAAAAUCAAGACCACUUUUCUGUAGUACAACAUGCAUGUUACAUCCAAUUUUCAGGUGUAUUUUGACCUAUCUCUGCUGGUGUGGAUUUUUGUGUGGACUUAGAAUUUUUUUUUUAUUUUACGUUCCUUUGUUGUUACUAGGGGUGGGUAUUGCCACGAAAAUUGGUAUUGCGAUAUAUUGCAAUAUUGUAUGUGGAUAUUGCAAUAUACUGGGAUAUAUUGUACCAGUUAUUUAAUGAACAAAAACAUGAUGAAUCAUGCUGUUUUUUUUUUCAAUUAAAAAUGAGUAAAAUGAUUAGUAUCAACAACACGAGUGUUUGCUCCACCUUCUCAAUAAAUAAAAAUAAUAGUAAACAAAAAAAAAAGUUUUGACUAUAUUAUGGGGAGUAUUGUCAAUUUGUCAUACACAAAUACUAUUAACUGUUGAUGAUUUUGCCUUUAUUUUCAACAAUCUCGAAGUCCGACAUGUUGCUAUAAUGCUAUGACGCCGAUUACCGGAUAUUCAAAAGCGAAAGUAGACUGCGUCAAAAUAUUAUUUAGUUUAUUGUGCUGCACUACAUUCGGUUUACGGAUACAAUCAUAUAACACAGGUUGCUCAAUUCACCGAUUAUAAACGAGGAAAGUGGCAUAGCUGUUGUAUGAAUAAUAAAUUCUAGUUGAUAGAAAAAUUACUAAUGAGUCGCUGACAAAUACGAAAUUAUAUUUAUCCAAAUUUUCUUAUUGGUUUUAUUAUGUGGAAUUGGGUCCGUAAAAUAGCUGAAAACCAGUCUGCUACCUGCACCGGAAAUGAAAGGAGAAAAAUGAAAACAAAGUUGAAUCGUGCUGACAAGAAAAGGAUUUUUUGUGUGUGGAUCGUCUUGGUUAACGUUAGUGUUACUUAAUGUUAUAAAAUAACCGGUAUUCGAAAAUCAUAUCGCAAUAUCGUAUCGUCGGAAAAAACAUCGCAAUAACCGGUCUACCGCUGUAUAUCGCCCACCCCUAGUUGUUACUGUAAAUAACUUAUAUUGUAACUUUUUGCAAUCUCUUUUAUUUGGCAUAAAUGUUUGCCUCAAUGAGACAAGGAGUGUCAUGCACAACUCCCAGUCCUUUUGACAGCUGGCGGGCUUGACAUAUUGCCCGUGGGCAUCUAGUUCUCAUAUUUUUCAUGAGAUUUUAAAGAGAAUGUUCUGUUAUACCCGCAUGUAGUAAGCUUGUCUGUCUUUCAGUCAGUAGGUUUUCAUGGCUUCCAGAUGAUAACUCCUGAAAAGCUUGACCGAUUUAAAUAUUUUUGGUACAUAGUUACAGGUCAAGUUUGACUUUGGGGUCAAAGGUCAAGAUAACUUGCAAACGCUUUGGCCUGGGAUCAUAGCUUUUGUAACGCAGGUGUAACAUGAUAAAAUACAGGUUGUUUGAAUUUGAGGUCAAUAGAUCAAAGGUCAAGGUCACAGUGAUUUUGAACAGUUGAACCAUUUCCGAAUGGUAACUUAAGACCUUGAGCCUAGGAUGAUAAAGUUUGGUACACAGGUGUCACAUCAUGAAAUACAGGUCAAGUUUUACUUUGAGGUCAGUAGGUCAAGGUCACAAUAAGGCAAAACGGUGAAAUGUUUUUCAGAUUAUAACUUGAGAAUGCUUGAGCCUAGGAUCAUGAAAAUUGUUAGGGAGGUUGAUUAUGACCAGCAGGUGACCCCUAAUGAUGUUGAGGUCAGUAGGUCACAGGUCAAGGUCACACUGACCCGGUUCUUUAAAAUGAUGCACGGAGGGGCACCUGGGGUCUUCCUCCACCAUUAAAACUGGAAAGUCGCCAUAUGACCUAUCCUGUGUCGGUGUGAUGUUAAAUUCAACAAAAUAAAUAAAGGUUCUUUAAAACGUUUUUUGGACAAUAACUUCAGGAUGCUUGGGAUGAGAAACACAAAAUUUAGUACAAGGUUGGUCUUGACCAGCAGAUUACCUGUAUUGAUUUAGAGUUCCAAAGGUCAGGAUGACCCGGAACAUUUAAACCUUUUCCAUACAACAACUUGAGAACACUUGGGCCGAGGAUCAUGAAACUAUGGAGAUUGAAUUUGAGGUCAUAGCUCAAGAAAAUGCUGCUUUGUUAUUGGCUAAGUUCUUUGAUAAGGCCAUAUUGUGGGGGUAUAAUUCGUCACUCCUGUGACAACUCUAGCAUUUAGCUCACCUGAGCACAAAGUGCUCAAGGUGAGCUUUUGUGAUCGCCCUGUGUCCGUCCGUCGUCAACAAUUUGACUGUUAACACUCUAGAGGUCACAAUUUUGACUUAAUCUUUAUGAAACUUGGUCAGAAUGUUACCCUCAAUAAAAUCUUGGACACACUCGAUGUUGGGUCAUCUUGAAUCAAAAACUAGGUCACCAAGUCAAAUCAAAGGAAAAGCUUGUUAACACUGUAGAGGUCACAUUUAAGACUGUAAUAUACUAUCUUCAUGAAACUUGGUCAGAAUGUUAAUCUUGAUGAUUUCAAAGUCCAGUCUGAAUCUGGGUUAUGUAGGGUCAAAAACUAGGUCACUAGGUCAAAUCAAAGGAAAAGCUAGUUUACCCUCUAGAAGCCAAAUUUAUGACCAUAUCUUAAUGAAACUUGGUCAAAAUGUUAAUAUAAAUGAUCCAUAGAUCAGGUUCAAAUCUGGGUCAAGUGGGGUCAAAAACUACGUCACCAGGUCAAAUCAAGGGAAAAGCUUGUUAACACUCUAGAGGUCACAAUUUUGGCCCAAUCUUAAUGAAACUUGGUCAAAAUGUUACCCUCAAUAAAGUAUUGGACAAGUUUGAUAUUGGGUCGUCUAGGGUCAAAAACUAGGUAACCAGGUCAAAUCAAAAGAGAAGCUUGUUAACACUGUAGUGGCCACAUUUAUGACCAUAUCUUAAUGAAAUUUUGUCAGAAUUUUAAUCUUGAUGAUCUAUAGGCCAAGUUAAAUCUAGGUCAGGUGGGAUUAAAGACUAGGUCGCUAGGUCAAAUCAAAGGAACAGCUUGUUAACACUCCAGAGGCCACAUUUAUGACUGCAUCUUCCUGAAACUUAAUCAGAAUGUUAAUCUUGAUGAUCUUUCAGUCAAGUUUGAAUCUGGGUCAUGUGGGGUCAAAAACUAGGUCACCAAGUCAAAUCAAAGGAAAAGCUAGUUAACUCUUUAGAGGCUACAUUUAUGAUCGUAUCUUAAUGUAACUUGGUCAGAAUGUUGAUCUUGAUGAUCUUUAUGUCAAUAUGCCAGGUGAGCGAUAUAGGGCCAUCAUGGCCCUCUUGUUUAUUUGUUCUUGUAAGAGAAAUUGUACAUUUUAGAAUAGAGAUUACAGCAAGUCACAUUUUCUUUAUUUUGAAAAUAUUUAUUUCAAAGCCUGACAAAAGCAUCCAGUACUGUUAUUAAAAGUUGUUAUUCACAGUUCAGCUAUAUUUCAUGUAUGGAUAAAACAAAUUUUGUGAUCUGUGAUCAUUAUAAAUGUGUAUACAGAUAAAACUUAAACAUGUGAACAGUUUAUUCAAUAAAUAAAGUGUAAUGCAAGUC